GGUUACUUAGCUCAGCAGGUAGAGCGCUUCCUUCAUACGGAAGUUGUCGCUGGUUCGAUCCCAGCAGUAACCACCA
rnacentral:tRNA from 1 species